rnacentral:rRNA from 1 species
GGAGCGGCCGAUGUCUGAUUAGCUAGUUGGUGAGGUAAAGGCUUACCAAGGCNUCGAUCAGUAGCUGGUCUGAGAGGACGACCAGCCACACUGGGACUGAGACACGGCCCAGACUCUACGGGAGGCAGCAGUGGGGAAUUUUGGACAAUGGGGGAAACCCUGAUCCAGCCAUGCCGCGUGAGUGAAGAAGGCCUUCGGGUUGUAAAGCUCUUUCAGCCGGAACGAAANGNNGUACNGGNUAAUACCNNGUGACUAAUGACGGUACCGGAAGAAGAAGCACCGGCUAACUACGUGCCAGCAGCCGCGGUAAUACGUAGGGUGCAAGCGUUAAUCGGAAUUACUGGGCGUAAAGCGUGCGCAGGCGGUUUUUUAAGUCAGAUGUGAAAUCCCCGGGCUUAACCUGGGAAC